CUUUUAGUUGUUGCUCAGUAAUGUUUACUCUGACCAAGGACUUUGUGAGUCUCAUGCUCUGCCAGGGAGGAGGGGAAGCCAAGAGGAAGCAGAGACAGGACACCUGACCCAAACUAGCAAAAGGGGUAUUCCAUACCACAGCACGUCAUUCCCAGUACAGAAACUGGGGGGAGUUACCCGGAAAGGCCAGAUCGCUGCUCAGGUCAGGCUGGGUAUUGGUCAGCAGGUGGUGAGCUGUUGUAUUCUCUUCC